CCUACGGGUGGCAGCAGUGGGGAAUAUUGGGCAAUGGGCGCAAGCCUGACCCAGCAACGCCGCGUGAGGGAAGAAGGACCUCGGGAUGUAAACCUCUUUUGUCAGGGAAGAAAGCAGUGACGGUACCUGACGAAUAAGCCCCGGCUAACUACGUGCCAGCAGCCGCGGUAAUACGUAGGGGGCAAGCGUUAUCCGGAUUUACUGGGUGUAAAGGGCGUGUAGGCGGGAUUGCAAGUCAGGUGUGAAAGUCGAGGGCUCAACCCUCGGACUGCUGUUGAAACUGUAUGUCUUGAGUGAAGGAGAGGCAGGCGGAAUUCGUGGUGUAGCGGUGAAAUGCGUAGAUAUAAGGAGGAACACCAGUGGCGAAGGCGGCCUACUGGACAUUAACUGACGCUGAGGCACGAAAGCGUGGGGAGCAAACAGGAUUAGAUACCCCAGUAGUC
rnacentral:rRNA from 1 species